AAUUUUUGUCCCUCCAUAUAAGUGCUACAGCAGUCACAAAGGUAGAAGCAGUGAUUGCUUUGUGCCAUAGUUUGCUCCUCGCUUUGCUGCAGAUCCAUUGAAGUUCAUCUUCUCAUUUGCCAACUGUUCUUUUGUACCCCAACCAGCAGCAUAUUCUGGUCCAUAAUCGAUUAGUGAUUUGGCAGUCAAAGAACAAAUGCUCAAAAUUCUCAGCAUGCUGAUUACAGAACACACAGUUAGCAGGCACCUGAAUUCCAUACUUCUGCAAUCUGUCAAUAGUAGGCAGCUUGUGUUGAGCAGCUAGCCAAAUAGUGAAUUUGUGUCUAGGUUGCACAUUAGUAGUCAGCAUCACAUUCUUCCACACUACCUUAUUAUAACUAAGCAGCAUUGCAAGGUAUAGUUUUUGGAUUUGGAACUUGUUCAGCCUGCACAUUAUUUGCAAUCUGUUAAAGAGAUCCCCUUGUAGCUGCUUUUGCAAGGUAUAGUUUUUGGAUCUGGAACUUGUCUAGCCUGCACAUUUAUUGCAAUCUGUUAAAGAGAUCCCCUUGAAGCUACUGGUUCUCCAUAACAUCAAUCCUGCAGUCCAGAAUCUUUCUAACAACCCAAGAAGCAGUCUUAUGCAGAGGCAUAGAACCAACGUCACAUUGUUUGAUGUAGUAACAGUGCAGCCACUUGAUCCAGAGACAAUCUUUUUUCCUGGCCAGGUCCCAAAGGAGUUUGGUGACAUCUGCCUUAUUCC
rnacentral:lncRNA from 1 species